GAUGAACGCUAGCGAUAGGCUUAACACAUGCAAGUCGAGGGGCAGCAUGGUCUUAGCUUGCUAAGACUGAUGGCGACCGGCGCACGGGUGCGUAACGCGUAUGCAACUUGCCUCACAGAGGGGGAUAACCCGUCGAAAGACGGACUAAUACCGCGCACACUCCAUCUUGGGCAUCCAAGGUAGAGGAAAUGAAAUUCGCUGUGAGAUAGGCAUGCGUCCCAUUAGCUAGUUGGUGAGGUAACGGCUCACCAAGGCGACGAUGGGUAGGGGAACUGAGAGGUUGAACCCCCACACUGGUACUGAGACACGGACCAGACUACUACGGGAGGCAGCAGUGAGGAAUAUUGGUCAAUGGGCGAGAGCCUGAACCAGCCAAGUCGCGUGAAGGAUGACUGUCUUAUGGAUGGUAAACUUCUUUUAUACGGGAAUAACAAGAGUCACGUGUGACUCCCUGCAUGUACCGUAUGAAUAAGCAUCGGCUAACUCCGUG
rnacentral:rRNA from 1 species